GCCUAGCCAUUAACACAAAUAGUGAAAAUACAACACUAUUCGCCAGAGAACUACAAGUAAAAACUUGAAACUCCAAGGACUUGGCGGUGUCCCAACCACCCUAGAGGAGCCUGUCCUAUAAUCGAUACUCCCCGAUCUACCCCACCACUUCUUGAAACUCAGCCUAUAUACCGCCGUCGCAAGCCUACCCUAUGAAGGUUCAAAAGUAAGCAAGACAGUCACUGACUAAUACGUCAGGUCAAGGUGUAGCACACGAAGUGGAAGAGAUGGGCUACACUCUCUUAUCAAGAAGACACAGACAGUGAAAUGAAACGCAACUCAAAGACGGAUUUAGCAGUAAGAUAGACAAGAAAAUUUAUCUUAAAUAAGCCCUGGGACACGCACACACCGCCC
rnacentral:rRNA from 1 species